rnacentral:rRNA from 1 species
AUGCAAGUCGAACGAUGCUUUCGGGCAUAGUGGCGCACGGGUGCGUAACGCGUGGGAAUCUGCCCUUGGGUUUGGAAUAACAGUUAGAAAUGACUGCUAAUACCAAAUGAUGUCUUCGGACCAAAGAUUUAUCGCCCAGGGAUGAGCCCGCGUAGGAUUAGGUAGUUGGUGGGGUAAAGGCCUACCAAGCCGACGAUCCUUAGCUGGUCUGAGAGGAUGAUCAGCCACACUGGGACUGAGACACGGCCCAGACUCCUACGGGAGGCAGCAGUGGGGAAUAUUGGACAAUGGGCGAAAGCCUGAUCCAGCAAUGCCGCGUGAGUGAUGAAGGCCUUAGGGUUGUAAAGCUCUUUUACCCGGGAAGAUAAUGACUGUACCGGGAGAAUAAGCCCCGGCUAACUCCGUGCCAGCAGCCGCGGUAAUACGGAGGGGGCUAGCGUUGUUCGGAAUUACUGGGCGUAAAGCGCACGUAGGCGGCUUGGUAAGUUAGAGGUGAAAGCCCGGAGCUCAACUCCGGAAUUGCCUUUAAGACU